rnacentral:rRNA from 1 species
GCGAAAGCGAGUCUGAACAGGGCGUUGAGUUGCACGGAUGAGACCCGAAACCGAGUGAUCUAGUCAUGAGCAGGCUGAAGGUGCGGUAACACGCACUGGAGGGCCGAACCCACGCCUGUUGAAAAAGUCGGGGAUGACUUGUGACUAGGGGUGAAAGGCCAAUCAAACUCGGAGAUAGCUGGUUCUCCGCGAAAGCUAUUGAGGUAGCGCGGCAGAUGUAUUCCUUCGGGGGUAGAGCACUGGAUGGGCUAGGGGGUCUCAACCACUUACCAAACCUAACCAAACUCCGAAUACCGAAGAGAACUGUCUGCCAGACAGACGGCGGGUGCUAACGUCCGUCGUCGAGAGGGAAAAAACCCUGAUCGCCGUCUAAGGUCCCCAAGUCACAGCUAAGUGGGAAAGGAUGUGGAGAUCCCCUGACAACCAGGAUGUUGGCUUAGAAGCAGCCAUCAUUUAAAGAAAGCGUAACAGCUCACUGGUCGAGGGUCUCUGCGCCGAAAAUGUAACGGGG